AGUGAGUGACUUUUGUACACACCCGUGAGGCCUCCCCAGGUACAGCCCUCCUCAGUGAAGAAGAAAACCCACAGGCCUGAGAGAGCAGUCAGCACGGCAUCAGCAGAGGAUCAGUCCUGCCAGCUCCCAAGGAGACAGAUCAAAAUUUGCUGAUGUUAGUUUCUUAGAUUCCAGAUAGAUUUCAUAGCACUUACUCUGACUCCAAAGGCUCAGAAUAGGUAUUGCAGCUCCUUGAUGUUUGACAUAAUAAGAACCAAAACAGAAAUAAAAGACAGUUAAAUGUUAAGAGAUGAAAAAGCUUUUUAGACAAUGGGAAACACUCAACUUCAAGCUGGAACUACAGCCGUGUCAUUACAAAUUGAUAUAAAGCUAUGAAAAAGGACUAGCAUUGUUUUUACUUGGAAAUAAAUUGUUGUUUCUUCACAACCAGGUACACUUUUGUUGGCUAAAACCUUAAUAUACAACUGUUCUAAUGAACUCAUCAUGUUUCUCAUAGAGUUUUGUCUUUCAGCCAUUGUUUAUAGUGUUGUUAAUAAAACCAUUUGAUAAUCAUUUUACUAAAUCAAUGGAAUGACAUAAAACCCCCCAAGAUCAGAAAUUUCCAAUCCGUUACACUGUCACAGCCGUUACGUUUGUUCACAAGGUUUAGGUGAAUGCUUUUCUUGCUAAUAACCUGUUAAAAAGGAACCAUAAAAAAGGCUAUACAAGUCCAGGUCAAAGAUCUGUAUCCCACAGUACUCUUCCGGAAAAGCUGGCAGCCCAUAGCUUGGACAGGUACACUCUUUGCUGGGUAAGGAGCUGGCUGGAGGGCCGGGCCCAGAGAGUGGUGGUGAAUGGAGUUAAAUCCAGCUGGCGAUGGGACACGAGUGGUGUUCCCCAGAGGUCAGUGCUGGUGCCUGUCCUCUUCAAUAUCUUUAUUGAUGACCUGGAUGAGGGCAUUGAGAGCACCCUCAGUAAGUUUGCAAAUGACACCAAAGUGGGAGGAAGUGCCUGGGGGUAGGAACACCCCACAGAGGGACCUGGACAGGCUGGAUUGCUGGGCUGAGGCCAAUGGCAAUGCUGCAGGCUUGGGGCAGAGUGGCUGGAAGACUGUGUGAAAGAAAGAGACCUGGAGGUAUUGGUUGACCCUCAUCUGAACAUAAACCACCAGUGUGCUCAGGUGGGCGGAAGGCAGUGGCCAAUGGCAUCCCAGCUUGUAUCAGAAAUAGUGUUGCUAGCAGGAGCAGGAAAUUGAUCAUCCUUCUGUACUCAGCCCUGGUGAGGCCACACCUCAAGUACUGUGUUCAGUUUUGGGCCCCUCACUGCAAGAAAAGAUGUUGAGGCCCUGGAGCAUGUCCAGAGAAAGACAACAAAGCUGUGAGGGGUCUGGAGCACAAGACUUAGGAGAAGCAGCUGAGGGAGCUGGUAUUAUUUAGUCUGGGUAAGAGGAGGCUCAGAAAAAACCGUAUCACUCUCUACAACUACCUGAAAGGAGGUUGUGGUGAGGUGGGGUGUUGGCCCCUUCUCCCA